rnacentral:lncRNA from 1 species
GUGUGGUUCAAAGUAUGACGGGACACAUAAGUACAGUUUUACGUCAAAUACGGCUGAAUUUAUCUAUGUAAAGUCUACCCAUAAAUGAUAGAAGGUUUUCAUUACUGGUGUAAAAUUGCGCGUUUGAAAUUCGCACAGGUAGACAUAAAAAUAAUUUUGUCGUAUGACGGCAUACAUAAAUGCAGACUCACGUAAAGUAGAUAUAACAAAAA